rnacentral:lncRNA from 1 species
GGCGCCCCAGGCCUGAAAGGUUCCAUGGCCUGGAUCCUCAGCUAAAGUCCCGCGUUCCUGUGAACCCCAACUGUGCUGAGGUCAAUGCAGGAUGAAGGUGGGAGAUGUACUUAAACACCGACUGCCAGGAAGGUCUUUUCCAUUUGGUAGUGAUCAGAUGUCAGCCAGACCAUCUCCGGGGAUGAGCUGUAGGUGAAGUGAGCCUCGCAAGAAUGCGCUGAGUGAACGGGAAAGACUGCAGUGCAGAAGGACAUAUGGGGAAACCUUCAAAUCGUCAUUUCAUCACCCAGAUGUGCACCCAAGUAAUCAGAAUCCAAGGCGAAUCUAGAAUGCCAUCAAGUGCCAUCACAAAGUCCUUCCAUAGGAGAGAGAAAGAAAUUCCCACCGGAGGCAAGCAAAGAGGGCUGCUUGAAGGAGGCAGGGGCAUGUAACCUGGCCUCGGGAGAUGAGUAAAAUCUCAGCUGGUGGAGGAGGAAUGGGACCCGAGGCAUGAAGCAUCAGGGUAGCUUGGGUCGGCCUCAUCUCCCCAGCCUGGGAUUGGGGAAGGCAGAAGGGAGAUCUAUACCCUAGAACCUCAACCAAGGAGGUUGGACUUCCCCAGAAUGAGGGCAGGGAGGAAGCUGUGGAAUAUUUUGGAGGAAGGAGUGACACGAUGAGAUGCCGCAGGCCAGUGGGGAGUCAUGCAGAGACACAUGUAGAAACGGCC